GGGGGGUUCAGCCAAGAAUUUUCAUUUCAUCACAUUACAGAAAGCUCAGCUCACAUGUGAUUAUAUUUUUGUCUAUGAUCAUGUGUGAAGAAAACAAAAUAGAAUUGAAGGGACAUGAAAUUCACCUAAAUAACUCAUUUCAGAAAAUCAGAUUCUGAAAACUGAAACUGCAUGUAAGAAUAAAACCACAUACGCUAGUAAGCAACUAGCCACGCUACAGUAGUCCAAUUAAAGGCCUCUAAUUUGUCGAUUCUAACAUGUAUUCCUUUUUUUCAUUCAUAUCAAGCUGUUUAGACAAUACUGAAUCACCUAGCCAAUGACUUAGCUCGAUGUCAUACUGUAUCAUAUUCGAUUUCUUGCUGCUUUUACUGUGAAAACAUGAUGCCUUUAUUUUAUAUCAUAUCAUCAUAUCCUUUUGGACUAAGAAAUACAAAGCCUUAAUACUGGGUAAAGCAUGUAGGAAUCCCAGUUCUUCAAAACACACUCUGCUUAUUUCACUUGAUUCCUAUAUGGUUCACCGAGCAAAGAUGGAAAUGCCUUUGAAUUGAAACUGACAGCCAGCAAUUUAUCCUCAGAGUCAUUGGUUCAUUUCAAAUCCAAUGUGCUGGAAUAUAGGGCCAAAACAACAAAAAUUGCAUCAGCGUUCACUUACUUACGUGCUGCGUGUUUGUGUGAAAGAUAUUCAGAGUUUAUUCUAAUUCAUGCAAGCACACUUGUUUAAUAUUCGGUAUAGCAUAUGUGAAAACUGACAUGGAAAAGUACAUCUGAUGUCAUUUUAUUUUGUGUCCGUCAUCUCAAACAGGAUCUGUUGUCAGGGUGGACUGCCUGCUGAAUAUUUACUUCACAGUAAUGAUACAUGAAUGCCUUUCCUCCUUCUUUUUUUUUUUUUUUCAUAUGGAGUAGACGUUUUUUGGGGGCCUGUUGAUACCAUUACUGAUAUCAAAAUAUGUGACCUACUUACUAUUAAUCAAUCAAGGUGAUCGAGUAAGAGUUGGUUUAGCUCUUUAUGUGCAUUUCCGUACUGCUAGCAAUGAAUUCCUCAUGCUGAGUUUUAUGGGGUUUAAACAGCAUCUUUAAUAGAGAGCGUGACGACCGCCGACCUUGAUUUGCGAGUAACGUGUAGACCCCGGCAGGCGAACAUGACACAGUGCUCAGUGCUCGCCGAAAUGACGUGCUCACACAAGUGACAGCUCCUCUGCAUGCUAGUUUCACUCUUCCACACUCAUUUUGGGUGUGUUCUAUUUCCCCGCAGUUCCUGGUGGGUUAAUACUAAUUGUGGAUUAGGUUUAAUGGUGGACUAAUGUGCAUUAGACAUAUACUGACAUUCAAUUAUCAUAUCUCUAUAAUUGGCUAAUCGGUCAUCAUGGUUUACAGUAAUAUCACUAUUCUGCGUUAUAAACUAUUGCGUUACUAGUUAAUGCUUUACAUUAAGGUUCCCUUAACUAACAUUGUUUGUCACACAGCCUCACAAAUGCAAUCUGGAGGUAAGCAGAUUUUUAAAAACAUUCAUUGUAUUCAUGGGCAAAACUUGUAGUACUUUAAAAAAGUAGAACACGUCAGAAUUUCACCACGAAAAGGGUUUUCCCCGGCUCUCACAUACCCCCGGAUUUAAUUAACAUUAACAAACGUUAAUUCAUUAAGCACAAGAAAUGUUAACAAAGCAACAAAGUUAACACAUGAAUUGAGGUUCGUUUAAAUGUUAACUAAAUACACAGGCGUUGGCGAAUGUUUAUUCAAUCCAUGCCUGCAAAUAAGUUGGCAUAAGUGAGGAAAAGAAGAAAAAAAAACCCCUCAAUUACAGCAUGUCUAAAUAUCUAAAUGUUGAUAAAUUACUGAACUCUGGUCUGAAGGUAUAAUAUAUUAAAAUGUUUCAAAUGUUGUUUUUUUUUUAAGUGUCAGUCCUGAAUUUUGCAAGUUAACACGUGCAAACACUCAUUAAGCUGGUGAGCGUUGGCUUCAUUUUACUCCGUGAUGUUGUGAAAAUUGCUUCAUGCAGGUGUUGAGUUUUGGUUGAUUUAGUUUACUAUUCAAAACAAACAAACAAACAAACAAAAAAACAAUCUAUGUCACUUGCAGGGUAUUAAUCCUGAAGUUUACGGUCUGUUCAUGUUAACUAAAUGUCUUUUAAGGGAAUCUUAAUGUAGCGAUGUGUUUCCCCCAUCUUGUUCAGUGAACACAAUAAUGGCAUUGGCAUUGUAUGCAUGAAAAUGUAAUAUUUCUCGGAGACAGGAACAAAUUAGAAAACAGCUGCGGUUGGAGUUCCAGUUGGAGUAGUGAUGCUAUUUAAACCUUGUAUAUCGUGCAUAGGAUUUUAUGAGAUAUACGUAUCAUGUCCUAACGUUGACGCAUCGAGUAGUGGAUAAAUGCAGAGCUUCGGAAGGAAUGGACAAAGCUGGAAAGGACCAGAUGUGUUUGCUGACCCUCAGACUACAGUACAAAGCAUCAGCAAAGACAGACAUGCACACACUUACGUAUAACAGGAAAGAAGUUAGGACGUUCUUAUCUGGGGCUUGUGCAUGGCAGAGUGGUGUUAGAAGUGAGAUAACCAGUGAGUUCAGCCAUGGUUUAUUUUUCAUUUAAAUACCCAGACAUUCCCAGGCUUCCUGAUAAAUACCAUUGGGUAAAAUCAAUUUUGGAGACUCCUGGGGGUCAUGAUAAUAUUUGUCUCAAGUGGUUCAAAUUUCUGCAGAAUACAGAUGUACUUCUCAAUAUUAAGUGACUAUAAUCUAUAAAUGAACUUUAGAUUGCAGCAGAAUGCAGUUACUUGCACAGCUUAAUGGUCCACUACGGUAAAUGUGCUGAAUUAUGUGCUUCAUGCUGACUAUGAGUAAUGGGUAUCUGUCCACCGUUUCCUGUAUAUAGCCAAGAGGCAAGAGUCAGAUCAAGCCAUCCAAAACCUAUCAAGCCAUUUCUAAUAAACUGGUAUUUUUUUCCCUUUUGCAUUACCCAAAGUGCACAUUUCACUGCUAUAUGAAUACUGAUGUAAACGAAACAGGCAGUACAAAGUUACUGUUUGAAGCUUUAGCCUGUGUGACAUCUGUAGAAGAACAAUAUACAUAAGAUUUUCUGUGUGAAAUUAUAAGCCCAUCUAUAAACAAAAGUCAGGGAUGCUGUUGUGUUUGGCAAAGAGCCAUAGAAUUUGAUCAAUUAACUGGAGCUGAAACUAAUGAUUCAUGCAAAUUUGAGAUAUCUGGUUCAAAUGAUUCUUUUUUUCGCCACCCAAUCAAGUUAAGGUAAAGGCAAAACAGGAUGAAAAGCAAUAUAGUUCCCCUUAUAGAUAUUGUUCUCUGCUGCGCUCAUUAAUCUCUGUGAAAAAUCAUUUUCCUGGUUUUGUCUGGUCUGAGGUUGAUGAGAUGUUUUUUUUUCUUUCUUUCUUUUGUUAUUCUUGCAGGAUGUAAAUAUGCACUACAUCAUUUUCAAUCCUUCAACUUAGUUUGUUGUCGUUUUUGUCUUUUUUUGUCUGUUAACAGAUCGGACACUUUCUUUCCCCCUUCCGAAUACAAACUUCUGUCUCUUCUUUGAGUAUAUUAUUGUCUGAAAGAAAACGUUUUGUAAAAAUUUUGAUGAUGAAAUCUGAAAUAAAGUAAUUUAAAG
ensembl:lncRNA